AUGUGACACAGUAUCUACGGU
rnacentral:misc_RNA from 1 species